CUAUCCAACUUACUACACUAACAUCAAAACAUUCUUAUACUGGAACUAUACUAUAACCACACUGUACAACAGACUCUUAUCAUGUUUUGUUUCAAACCCAACAGAUAGGACCAUGCACCAUGAUUUUUCAACAAGGAAGUAAAAUAUAACAUUCUUAUUUCAAUUCUUCAUUUCUUGAAUGAAACGUAAUGUGAAUUUGAAUUGUUUCAGAUUAAUAUUAUUGAAAUAAAUAAUGAAUAAAUAUAUUUCCCUAAUUUUCUAGAUUAAAAUUUAAGCUAUUUUGUUUUGGGAACAAAAUCUUAUGAGGUAGACCGUGAUGACUGACAACAUGGACCAUCUGUAAAUAUGACUUUACAUAAUGUAUCCUUAGUCUCUAUAUGCUUUUAAAAAAUAAGGGUAACAAACAUCAAGUUUCAAUGAUUUUGGACAUGAAAAUUGAAAGGCUUAUUAAUAGAAUACUUUAAAAAUAGAACAUCCCAGAACCUCUUUUUACAAAAGGUCUUUUAGAUUUUAGAUUUAAAAUAAGAAAAUAAAUCACCACAAAUAUCAAAUAUGAAAAAACAGCUGCGCCAUGA
rnacentral:lncRNA from 1 species